UACGGGGGGGGCAAGCGUUGUUCGGAAUUACUGGGCGUAAAGGGCGCGUAGGCGGCCUGCUAAGUCGGACGUGAAAUCCCUCGGCUCAACCGAGGAACUGCGUCCGAUACUGGUGGGCUUGAAUCCGGGAGAGGGAUGUGGAAUUCCAGGUGUAGCGGUGAAAUGCGUAGAUAUCUGGAGGAACACCGGUGGCGAAGGCGGCAUCCUGGACCGGUACUGACGCUGAGGAGCGAAAGCGUGGGAUCAAACAGG
rnacentral:rRNA from 1 species